rnacentral:rRNA from 1 species
UACGAAGGGGGCUAGCGUUGCUCGGAAUCACUGGGCGUAAAGCGCACGUAGGCGGCUUUCUAAGUCAGGGGUGAAAUCCUGGAGCUCAACUCCGGAACUGCCCUUGAAACUGCAGUGCUAGAAUUCUGGAGAGGCGAGUGGAAUUCCGAGUGUAGAGGUGAAAUUCGUAGAUAUUCGGAGGAACACCAGUGGCGAAGGCGGCUCACUGGUCCAUUACUGACGCUGAGGUGCGAAAGCGUGGGGAGCAAACAGG